UAUACCGUGAAACUGCGAAUGGCUCAUUAAAUCAGUUAUCGUUUAUUUGAUAGUACCUUACUACUUGGAUAACCGUGGUAAUUCUAGAGCUAAUACAUGCUGAAAAUCCCGACUUCGGAAGGGAUGUGUUUAUUAGAUAAAAAACCAAUGCCCUUCGGGGCUCCUUGGUGAUUCAUGAUAACUUACGGAUCGCAUAGCCUUGCGCUGGCGACGGUUCAUUCAAAUUUCUGUCCUAUCAACUUUCGAUGGUAAGGUAUUGGCUUACCAUGGUUUCAACCGGUAACGGGGAAUUAGGGUUCGAUUCCGGAGAGGGAGCCUGAGAAACGGCUACCACAUCCAAGGAAGGCAGCAGGCGCGCAAAUUACCCAAUCCCGACACGGGGAGGUAGUGACAAUAAAUACUGAUACAGGGCUCUUUUGGGUCUUGUAAUUGGAAUGAGUACAAUUCAAAUCUCUUAACGAGGAACAAUUGGAGGGCAAGUCUGGUGCCAGCAGCCGCGGUAAUUCCAGCUCCAAUAGCGUAUAUUAAAGUUGUUGCAGUUAAAAAGCUCGUAGUUGAAACUUGGGCCUGGCUGGCGGGUCCGCCUCACCGCGUGCACUCGUCCGGCCGGGCCUUCCUUCUGAAGAACCUCAUGCCCUUCACUGGGCGUGCUGGGGAAUCAGGACUUUUACUUUGAAAAAAUUAGAGUGUUCAAAGCAGGCCUUUGCUCGAAUACGUUAGCAUGGAAUAAUAAAAUAGGGCGUGCGUUUCUAUUUUGUUGGUUUCUAGAGACGCCGCAAUGAUUAACAGGAACAGUCGGGGGCAUCAGUAUUCAGUUGUCAGAGGUGAAAUUCUUGGAUUUACUGAAGACUAACUACUGCGAAAGCAUUUGCCAAGGAUGUUUUCAUUAAUCAGUGAACGAAAGUUAGGGGAUCGAAGACGAUCAGAUACCGUCGUAGUCUUAACCGUAAACUAUGCCGACUAGGGAUCGGGCGAUGUUCUUUUUCUGACUCGCUCGGCACCUUACGAGAAAUCAAAGU
rnacentral:rRNA from 1 species